rnacentral:rRNA from 1 species
CCUACGGGUGGCAGCAGUGGGGAAUAUUGGACAAUGGGGGCAACCCUGAUCCAGCCAUGCCGCGUGUGUGAAGAAGGCCCUCGGGUUGUAAAGCACUUUCAGUGAGGAAGAACGCCUGGUGGUUAAUACCCAUCAGGAAAGACAUCACUCACAGAAGAAGCACCGGCUAACUCCGUGCCAGCAGCCGCGGUAAUACGGAGGGUGCGAGCGUUAAUCGGAAUUACUGGGCGUAAAGCGCGCGUAGGUGGCUUGAUAAGCCGGUUGUGAAAGCCCCGGGCUCAACCUGGGAACGGCAUCCGGAACUGUCAAGCUAGAGUGCAGGCGAGGAAGGUAGAAUUCCCGGUGUAGCGGUGAAAUGCGUAGAGAUCGGGAGGAAUACCAGUGGCGAAGGCGGCCUUCUGGACUGACACUGACACUGAGGUGCGAAAGCGUGGGUAGCAAACAGGAUUAGAUACCCCAGUAGUC